CCUACGGGUGGCAGCAGUAGGGAAUCUUCGUCAAUGGGCGCAAGCCUGAACGAGCAAUGCCGCGUGAACGAGGAAGGUCUUCGGAUCGUAAAGUUCUGUUGAAGGGGAAAAAGAGCGGAGAGAGGAAAUGGUCUCCGAUUGAUAUUACCCUUCGAGGAAGUCACGGCUAACUACGUGCCAGCAGCCGCGGUAAUACGUAGGUGGCGAGCGUUAUCCGGAAUGAUUGGGCGUAAAGGGUGCGUAGGCGGCCUGCUAAGUCUGGAGUGAAAGGUACCGGCUCAACCGGUACAGGCUCUGGAAACUGGCGGGGUAGAGAGGAGGAGAGGGCGGUGGAACUCCAUGUGUAGCGGUAAAAUGCGUAGAUAUAUGGAAGAACACCAGUGGCGAAGGCGGCCGCCUGGCCUGUUGACUGACGCUGAGGCACGAAAGCGUGGGGAGCAAAUAGGAUUAGAUACCCUGGUAGUC
rnacentral:rRNA from 1 species